UACGUAGGCAGCAAGCGUUGUUCGGAAUUACUGGGCGUAAAGAGUGUGUAGGCGGUGCUCCAAGUCUGGUGUGAAAUCUCCCGGCUUAACUGGGAGGGUGCAUUAGAAACUGGAAUGCUAGAGGAUGGGAGAGGUAAGCGGAAUUCCUGGUGUAGCGGUGAAAUGCGUAGAUAUCGGGAGGAACACCUGUGGCGAAAGCGGCUCACUGGACCGCAACUGACGCUGAGGCGCGAAAGCUAGGGGAGCAAACAGG
rnacentral:rRNA from 1 species